UUAUAAAAAAGUUCAUUCGUCGUUGCGCCCGUAUGAAUGUGAUAUAUGCGAUAAAAUGUUUAAAACUAAGGAAACUCUACUAUACCAUUCUAAAUGUCAUUAUUCUGAUUCUGAGAAACCUUCUAAAAACCAAGUAUGUGAUAAAUGUUUAAGUACAAAACAGAGUUCAACUGAACAUGAAGCAGUUCAUUCGUCGUUGCGUCCGUUCAACUGUGCCAUAUGCGAUCAAACUUUCAAAACCAAGACAAAUCUACAAAUCCAUAUCAAACGUCAUUUUAAGUACCCUUUUAAGUGCCAAAUGUGUGGUAAUGUUUUCGAGUCACAAAUACUGGAAGAUAAAUAUGGAAUUCGUGUUUACUACACAUGUCAUAUAUGCGAAGAAAGUUAUAAAAAAAGAGUACUGUUUGAGGAACAAGAUGUAUCAUGAAAGAAACAAUCAGCAA